rnacentral:lncRNA from 1 species
AAUGUUCAAAUUAGGAAGAAAAAUAAUAAAUUAUUGCUAAAGCACCCAAUGAAAGCACCGUUCCAAGUAUGAAUGAACACAUAGAACAAUAACAAUUACAAACUACCAUAGAAGGAGAAAAACAAAUGUAUAUGCCAUUGAUACCUUCAUUGCAAAUAUAUUUGUUCUUUUCGUGAUCAUAGAGUUACAAUGUGUAGCAAAAGUAUAAUAAUUCACCAUCAAAUUAUUUUCAUAUUCCACCUUGUUGUUGCACCUUAAAUUCCUAUUUUUGUUGUCGUUGUUGCUUGUGAAGAAGGAAACAUCGUGAUCAUUGUUGAACGUGUGAUUUAAUGUGUAGAAAUGAAGGUUGGAGAUGAGGAAAACAAUGAGGUUGUAGAUGGUAAAAUGAAGAUUGAAGAUAAAGAUUCAAAUUCGGAGAUGAUAAAUAGGUUGAAGAUGAAAAAGUGGAGGUUGGAGAUUAAAAAUAGAGGUUUGAGAUAGAUGAUUGAAAUUGAAGAUGGAGGUUAGAGAUGAUAAAAUAGAGAUCGGAGGUUGGAGAUGAAAAAAUGGAGGUAUGAGAUACAAAAUGGAGAUUGGAGGUUGGAGAUGAGAAAAAAUGAAGAUUGGAGGUUGGAGGUUGAAAAUGCAUUAAGGAAGAAGAAGAUAAAUUUGAAAUAUCAAUUUUAUUUAUUUAUUUUGUCCUUCCUUUUAAAAUCAUAUAAUUAUAGAAUCUACGGUACAUUCUAAUUCAACAAUUAAAACAAGAAAAAAUAAAGUCUCAUCAUCAUCGUUUGUCACAUUGCCUUUCUUGUUACAUAAUGUUGAUAGACAAAAAUCAAAUGAAUCUCAAUAUUCAAAAUAUAUU